CAGCCGCCGCGGUAAUACGGAGGGCGCGAGCGUUACCCGGAUUUACUGGGCGUAAAGGGCGUGUAGGCGGCCUGGGGCGUCCCAUGUGAAAGGCCACGGCUCAACCGUGGAGGAGCGUGGGAUACGCUCAGGCUAGAGGGUGGGAGAGGGUGGUGGAAUUCCCGGAGUAGCGGUGAAAUGCGCAGAUACCGGGAGGAACGCCGAUGGCGAAGGCAGCCACCUGGUCCACUUCUGACGCUGAGGCGCGAAAGCGUGGGGAGCAAACCGGAUUAGAUACCCGCGUAGUCCCUGUCUCUUAUAA
rnacentral:rRNA from 1 species